CCUACGGGAGGCAGCAGUGAGGAAUAUUGGUCAAUGGCCGAAAGGCUGAACCAGCCAAGUCGCGUGAAGGAAGAAGGAUCUAUGGUUUGUAAACUUCUUUUAUAGGGGAAUAAAGGUAUCCACGUGUGGAUAUUUGCAUGUACCCUAUGAAUAAGCAUCGGCUAACUCCGUGCCAGCAGCCGCGGUAAUACGGAGGAUGCGAGCGUUAUCCGGAUUUAUUGGGUUUAAAGGGUGCGUAGGUUGUUGUUUAAGUCAGCGGUGAAAGUUUGUGGCUCAACCAUAAAAUUGCCGUUGAAACUGGAAGCCUUGAGUGUGUUUGAGGUAGGCGGAAUGCGUGGUGUAGCGGUGAAAUGCAUAGAUAUCACGCAGAACUCCGAUUGCGAAGGCAGCUUACUAGGCCAUAACUGACGCUGAUGCACGAAAGCGUGGGGAUCGAACAGGAUUAGAUACCCCAGUAGUC
rnacentral:rRNA from 1 species